rnacentral:tmRNA from 1 species
AAACGGGGAUUGUGUUUAUUCAAGCCCCGCGGAGGGAAUGACAAACAAUAAACUACGCUCGUAGAAGGACAGGGAAUUGGUUUUUGGACACGGGUUCGAUUCCCGUCUGGUCCAUUG